rnacentral:lncRNA from 10 species
GGAAAAAUGCUGACCAAUGACCUUCACAUAUCACAAAGCCAGCAAGUGAAUCAAAGUGAAAGAACUAUGUCCCAACAUCACUCUGAUCACAUGAAGAAAUGAAGCCAUGGGUGGAGACAACUCAGAACCUUGGAAGACCAGCCGGAUGGUGCCAGUAACAUUCCCCAGCAUCAUUUGAUAGUGUCCACAGUACCUUCAACUUUAUUUUGGAGUUCAAAAAGUAAGGGCAAGGUCAGGUGCCAGAAGCAGAUCUGAGGUUAAAACCUAAGACUUUGGAGUCUCUAUUAUCUGAGAAAGAAGUGAUAGUUAACAGACGGACUGCAGGAACUUUUCUCGGGUUCAUUCAUUCCUCUAUUCUGAGCACUUAGAAUAGGGCCUUAACCAGUAGGCACUCAGUGACAUGUCUUACAUAUGUUAAAAGAAUAAAUUAUUUUUCCCUUGAUCUCCUCUGCUGCUAUUCAAUGCCAUUUCCUCAUGUUCUGUUCACAUAAAGUCCCUCAUAACAACAGAGAAUAGCUGUUUGAGAUGCUACACAAAGAUGUAGCAUCUCAACAGAGAAUAGCUGUUUGAGAUGCCUUCCAAAAUUUUAAGCCUGACAUUAAGUUGCUCCCUCAGUCUUCCGUUCACACUGCCUACCUGUUUCUUUUUUUUUUUCUGCUACCUACAAAUGUAACACUUGAGAUGCACUUCAUAUAAUAUUUAAAUGAUAUUUAACAUCCGGAGUGCUUUUCAUCUUUAGAGCUUCUUGAAAAUAAAGUUAAUUUAAUAAGAAGAUUGCAGUGAAGGAACACGCUCUUAUCUAAAGCACCACACAUGAGUAACAAGGAUAGAGAAAGUAAUUGGACAAGUAUAUACUUUCAUAUGGAAACAUUCUUGCUCAACUGUGCUCUGCUGUCAUAAAAACUGUUUAAAUGCCAAAUUUGAACAGGGCAAGCUCAGUGAACCACGUCCCUUUUAUGUUGAAGACUUUCCUUAAACUGAAAGUAGCCAGCUGUGUUUGCAAUUGGCUAACUGUUCAUCAUAAAGAAAGAAGAAAAAAUCUGUGUUUUAAAAACUAAAAAAAAAAAACUUCAUAUUGACUCUCAGGGAGUGUCACAUAAUAUGUUCUCAACAUCAUGCUAUAUGUUUUAGUUAAUGUCUUUACUGGGCUGCCAAGUAAAUGUAUUUUAAAGGACAUUAAAUUCAUGUUCUAUAGGGGGGAAGAAGUAGAGGGGAGGAUGCUUCUGCUUCCAAGCAUCAUUAUUCAGGUUGAUGACUAAAGCACGAGACAAUUUCAGAAUAUAUAUGUCUCUCUAGAAGGGGGAUACAUCUCCCAAUUUAGGUAGUUGAAUCAAUUACCCAUUACCUUACACUUCAUGCAUUUAUGUUUUGAAUAUUCUUAUGUAGCAAGAAUCCCUCUAGUUACCUUUCUUUCUCUCCCUCCCUUCCUCCUUUCCUCCCUUCCUUCCUUCUCUCCUCCCUCCCUCCUCCCUCCCUCUCCCUUCCUCUCUCUCUCUCUCUUUUUCUGGUUUUGUCUGGAGAAUGGAUUUAAUUGAAAAGCUAGAAAAAAUUACCUUACACUUAAGCCCAAAUAAAUGUUUCCAAAUAUAAGUAAACAUUGUCAUAAAGUUUAUUACAUAUACAGAAACCAUAAUAAAAAUAAUACAUACCAUUACUUUUU